rnacentral:rRNA from 1 species
UACGUAGGGGGCAAGCGUUGUCCGGAAUCAUUGGGCGUAAAGCGCGUGUAGGCGGUUCGGUAAGUCGGCUGUGAAAGUCCAGGGCUCAACCCUGGGAUGCCGGUCGAUACUGCCGGACUAGAGUUCGGAAGAGGCGAGUGGAAUUCCCGGUGUAGCGGUGAAAUGCGCAGAUAUCGGGAGGAACACCAAUGGCGAAGGCAGCUCGCUGGGACGUUACUGACGCUGAGACGCGAAAGCUAGGGGAGCAAACGGG